CUGAAGUGAGUCUCUGAGGAGACACCCCUUUUUUUUUUUUUUUUUUUUUUUUGCUCCCGCUUCUUUACUCUUUCCUCGUUUUUCUUACAUGACCUAGUUGGUAGUUUGUUUGUUUGAUUAAGUGUUCAUUUCCAGUACCCCCGUCAGUGUUUCACUGUACGGGGGGGGAGUGUUUAGUCCGCACUUUUGGCGUGUUUUCCUCCUUUUACAAUUGUUUGUUUAAGGAGCGCCUUUCUUUUUUUCAAGAUGACUGAUCCACCGGUACAACGGACCUGGCCUGGCUUACAGACGACCCCUACGGACACCCCCACGAUGAAUGGACAGAUAGAUACGACCCGGACCGGCCUGAUGACUACCCACACGGAGAUUCCCACACGGAGAACUAACAGAGAUACGGAUCUCUCCUUCAAAAAAGUGAGAAUUCGGCUGUGCAGGUUGUGACAGAGACCGAUGAGAAGAACCAGCCGGCAGCAUCCUCCAGGGAGAUGGCGGGGGAGAACCUUGAGGAGUCGGAGGGAAGGGGAGAAGGAGAGUUCGGAGCCGAAGUCUGGCAAGAUAUUUGAAGGAGCCCAGCCUGAGGGACCAUCGGUGUCGGAAGAGGGGAGCACCUGAGAGGGUGGAAGAAAUGGAGGGAGGACAAGAUUAAAAGGCAGGUCCGGCUGUACUGCGGAUCAUCUUUGGUGAUGAGUCUGACUCAAGAAAAUUACCCUUGGAUUCUGGAAUUCCAGCAACGGUGGAAGAGCUGCAUAUGAUACCGUCAGAAAGAAUCAUGUCUCACGUGCUGCCACAGAUGAGAUUCUGAAACACUCAAUUAGGUGGUUCAACCUGGCAGCAGACAGGGGACGUUCCAGGAGACGGGCCACUGUCAGCAUCCCUACUGACAAAGCCUAAACUUGUAUGUUUUAUACAUGUAAUGUUCUAAAAUCCUUUUAAAUGGAUUUAAUUUAAUAAAAAAUAACUGUUUUUGAUACUAUUAAUGGUUACAUUUCCUUUUUCCAUUAAUACCUAUUCAAUAUAUAGGCUGUA